rnacentral:misc_RNA from 1 species
CGAGUGCGAGGCUUCCGUCCUUGAGAUAGAAAGAUGGUCAAGGGCAGAGAAGAAAGGUUCUCUACAGCUUGUUUAUAAGAAUCUUGAGUCAGAGCAAAACUACCAGCACCAAACUGAUAACCCCAUUUACCAUACCAUGGGUGACCUUUCGUGAUGGCAUGUAGUAGACGUAAUUCCAAACCAUACUUCUUUGAAACAUCCAUCACGCUGAUUUUUCUUGCUCCAAGAACUUUACAGAGCCUAUCCCAGAAAUUCAUUAUAUGACUUCCAGAAAGCACCCUGGAACCACCUUCUCUACCGUUUACCCUGAGAAGAUGUCCAUAUCCAUUGGCAUGAAUCACACCAUGCAGAAGAUGACUGGUAUCCUCCAACUGAUUAUACAUCCAAUCCUCAACAUCUUCUGCAGUCAUGACAUGAUUGCAUGACUUGCACCUAGCCUCCGAUAACUGAAGAGCUUCACCACACCCAGCACAGGAUUUGUUAUAACCCCCAACUGAAUUUCCAUCUGCCUUAAUAAUAAAAUGGAAACGUUUUGCACAGACUGGAUUACUGCUCCAACCAACGACUCGGCACUGGUCGCAAUAAAUGGAUCUACAUCUGGCGACGUCUUCUUCGAUAACAUCGAGGCAGACAACAGCCGGAGAAGACUCGCCGUCUCCGUCGCCGUCAGUGAGGUCUCCGACGCGGAAGAGGAUCUGCCACGUCAGAAGGUGAGGAAACAACGAAGAAGGCGGCGGCAAAAUCGCAUGUUUCGAUAAAAACUCCUUCACCGUCGUCCUGAACGGUCCCGUACCGGCGGUAUUACCGUCGUCGGGGAAGGUAAGGAAAUCGUUGAGGUCCGCCGUUACUCUCCUCUUCAACCUCUUCAUCGGCCUACCAUUCACUACCAUACCUCCUUCUAACUGAACCCGGCGCGAAUCACCCAGAUCUCGGCGCGUGAGGUCGGAAAUCUCAAUCCUCGUCACCGAUCUGAACGGAAUACUCCUAGAUCGGACGUUUACUAUCCUAUCAAUGAACAAAAUUCCACAGAGAAGACGAGAGAUACAGAGACGAUGAGGUAAAGAGGAGUUGUGUUGUUGAGAGAGAAAGAGGAAAAGAAGGAGG